CCUGGUAGUGGGGGAUGACAACCGGAAACGGUUGCUAAUACCGCAUACGUCCUACGGGAGAAAGUGGGGGAUCUUCGGACCUCACGCUAUCAGAUGAGCCUAGGUCGGAUUAGCUAGUUGGCGGGGUAAAGGCCCACCAAGGCGACGAUCCGUAACUGGUCUGAGAGGAUGAUCAGUCACACUGGAACUGAGACACGGUCCAGACUCCUACGGGAGGCAGCAGUGGGGAAUAUUGGACAAUGGGCGAAAGCCUGAUCCAGCCAUGCCGCGUGUGUGAAGAAGGUCUUCGGAUUGUAAAGCACUUUAAGUUGGGAGGAAGGGUCGUUACCUAAUACGUGAUGGCUUUGACGUUACCGACAGAAUAAGCACCGGCUAACUCUGUGCCAGCAGCCGCGGUAAU
rnacentral:rRNA from 1 species